rnacentral:misc_RNA from 1 species
AGCUGCUGUGUCUGCUCUGGCCAAGUUUGGAGCCCACUGUGAAGAACUGCUGCCCAGCUGUAUUGUUCUUUUGGAAAGAUGUUUAUUAGACACAGAUGAUGAAGUGAGAGACCGAGCCACAUUCUAUGUUCAUGUUCUCCAACAAAAACAGAAGGCUAUCAACUCUGCCUACAUCCUCAAUGGUCUACAGGUGUCUGUGGUGGGACUAGAGAGAGCGCUACACCACUACACACUGGAGCCCACAGAACAACCAUUUGACAUGAAGUCUGUGCCACUGGAGACUCAACCAAUGACUGAGCAAAAAGCAGUGCGAGAGCCUGGUGACACAGCUGCUCCUAAGUCCACAGAUAAAGUGGCAGCCUCUAGACAGGAUGUUUAUGCUGAACAACUGCGGGCCAUUCCUGAGUUUGCCAAUCUGGGUAACCUGUUCAAGUCGUCUAGCCUGCCUGUUGAACUGACUGAGUCAGAGACAGAGUAUGUCGUGCAGUGCGUCAAACACACAUUCGGGCGAUAUAUGGUGUUCCAGUUUGAUUGUACAAACACCCUGAACGACCAAGUCCUGGAGCGGGUGACGGUACAGAUGGACCCGGCAGAGGGAUUCGACGUCCUCAAAACCAUUCCCUGUCCCUCCCUGCCGUACAACAAACCGGGGACUACCUACACCCUGGUCAGGCUGCCAGAGGACGCACAGCUAGUGACAGGGACAUUUAGUUGUACCUUGAAGUUUAUAGUAAAGGACUGUGACCCCAACACAGGCGAGCCGGACGACGAGGGUUACGAGGAUGAGUACGUCCUUGAGGAUGUAGAGGUCACCGUUGCUGACCACGUACAGCGAGUCAUGAAACCCAACUUCAGCGCCUCCUGGGAGGAGGUGGGACCAGAGAAUGAGCUGGAGGAUACCUACGCUCUCUCCACAAUGAAGACACUCGAGGGUAAGCAAUGGGGAUUAUAUGUAUUACAGAUUGAAAAUUUUGAUGGCAGAUUGGAACCAUAUAAGGGAUAAUCCUUUACCACUGUUUUUCACUUUGACUGUAAACUCAUGACUGAAAAUCAAUUUUGUAUGAGAAAACCUAUCACAUGAUGAUUAUAACAUACCAAUAUUUCCAAAUAAAUAAGAAAAUGCACAUUGAUUAUAGUAUUAUACCUAUCUGUUUGUCAGAAGAUUUAAAAUAGUCAUCAUGUCUCAAUAAUGUUCUGAAAAUUUUGAUAAAUUUUAGAUAAAUCUGGAAUUCCAAGUUUAAUAAUUACCGGUAUACUCAUACAUGCUAUAUCCUAAGUUUCAAUCAUACUCAUACAAGAUUUCUUUUGUUUAAAUUGCUACAGAUGCAGUUAAACAAAUCAUCCAGUUCAUGGGAAUGCAGCCAUGCGAAAGAUCAGACAAGAUUGCUGAGGGCAAGAGUUCCCACACCCUGUACCUGGCAGGGGUCUACAGGGGGGGUCAUGACGCCCUGGUGAGGGCCAAGUUAGCCCUGUCUGAUAACGGGGUCACCAUGCAGCUGACCGUCAGAUCUUCUGACCCUGACGCCUCUGAAGUCUUAGCCACCGCCAUUGGUUAACUUGUGAUCAUAUUAUUUAUUCUAAUCAUUUUGGACAUUCAGAUGUGUUUUCAUGCAAUUAUGUGUUAAGUUGAUCUAUUUUUAACGGAACAUUUAAAUUUAAAAUUUAAAGAUGGACUUAUCUCUGAAGUUGGUGUUUUGUGUUGGGAGUAAAUGUAAUUGAUAUGUCAUAAUAAAUAUGUAAGCUU